CUGGAAACCUGGAAUCUUCCUGUCUCUAUAGACUUUUCUAUUCUGGACAUCCAGGAAUUGUGCUGAGAGUGUGAAUGAAAGGACAAAAGACACAUUUUGUGGCUUUGAAAAUUUCAGAUGGGACUGUUGACUGAUGUCCUAAACACCAUCCUGAAGCUCUAAUAGUGUCUAGUGUAAACUGUGAAAUAUUGAUACAUUUCCUCUUACAAUGAGUGACAUUAUUUGAUCCCUAUAAACCAUGGACAUCAUUGUGGAAAUUCACCUCCACCCCAUCCUCACCUCAUCAAGUCCCUAGCAUUCCAACACUAUGUCUACUUCUGCAGCUGAUAUUCUGAUUUCUAGAAUGUGCUUGUCAAAUAUUAUAUCUGUUGUCACC